rnacentral:lncRNA from 1 species
CUAUUGAAUUUGUUCUGAUUAUUUUUUUUUCUUCCGCCUAAUUUUUUUCUUGCGGUGUAAAAAAGUUUCAAAAGAUGUCGCUUAGUUUUUUUGUAUAUGAUAUCAUACAGUCUAUUCGCUUUUGAAACUGACCCUGUUUAACCGAACACUUUUCUUUGUAAGAGUUAUCUCCCCAAACACUGUUUUUCUUGUUAUCAGAUCUCCUCCGCAACCGUAAAAGAAAGCGACAAAUUUAUUUUUCCAAAUUGCUCGUUAUAUCCUCAGGAUGUUACCUUUUAUUUUGACCGAAGCUUUACGAAGACCCCAUAUGAGAGUAAUUUCCCCUUUUGUAUUGAAAUAAGUGAAAUAAAUUUGUAACUGGAAAAACAUAAGUGAUAGAGGCCUAGGGUCUUUUGAUUUGAGGCAUUUGGUCAAAAAGUAUGAAAAUGAGGUCAAGGUCAAAGGUGAAGGUCAUGUUCAAAAUUUUGAUUUUGGCUUGUUAUCGCUUCUUUUCAGAAAUCAUAUAAGAUAUCGACAAAAUACUUUCACACAAUUGGUAGUCGGGACAUGUAGUUACACAUAAAUUUGAGUCGAAAGGGUACGUAAACAUUUGAUGCGAGUUUCCCCCCUUUUAUAUCUAAUAUCAGUCGUAUGGUAAUAUAACUCAUUAACAAUAUAAAGUAAAGACCUAAAGUCUUUUGAUUUAAGGUCCUUGGUUUAUGACCUUGAAAUUGAGCUCAAGGUCAUAUGUUAAUUUAACGUUCUAGAUUUUGACCUUUGCUUUUACCUCAUAUGUAUUCAUGUUAAAACUAUUAGACUUUUUGCAUUAGGUUGCAAGCACUAUGACGUUGAAAAAGUUAACCGUAAGUGACAUUUUGUAAACCGGAAGUAGCUAAUUUUUGUAAUUAAUUAUUGUCAAAGUAUGUAAAACCAUAUAUUUUUGGAAUCAGCGUCAAGUAAACUAUAAGACAGUACCGGAAGUAACAUAUUUUGAACCGGAAGUAGACAAUUAUCUCCCUUAUUUAUAUCUUUUUGUAUAGAAACCAUAUAUUUUUGGAAUAAGCGUUCAAUAAGCUGUCAUUUGACGCUAAAAUUGACAUUUAAAACCAAAUUUUAAUAUUUUCAUAUAAAAAAAGGUGGAAAGACCAUCAAUGGUUCUCUGAACAAUUGGUUUUUAAUUUU